GAGACAGGCCGAUUGUUGCUCCCUUCCUCCCAUAACUGAGCCAGAAUUUGGGUUUUAUGUAUAACCCAAAGAAGACCGAAUUACGGGCCCAGAUACUCAUCGUUUUUCCAUAGAGCUGCGAUGUACCAUAUAGUUCCUCCUUAAACCCUCUUAAGAAAAGAGAAAAAACCUCUCUUCUGCGAACGCAAGGUAAGCUUCGUCUGAGAAAAUCAAAGUUUGAGUUUUUGAAGAUUUGUGAUUAGAGAUGGCUUUCAGAAACUUAAACACGAUUCGUUCUCUGAAUAGGGUGGCUCAGAUUAGAAGAGAAUCAUCGUAUCUGCUUGGCAGCUCAAAAAGCUAUUCAAGUUGUAUUUCAAAUGCCAUUGAACUGAACUGCCAGAAAGUAUCUCCAUACUUGUACAAUGGCCAUAAUGCUCUUCUUUGGACUCGUGGAAGCAAUACGACACUCCGUUCUGCUAUGGCUGCUGAGUUGUUAAUAUUUUCAAAUGGGACUAGGUUGGUUACCACACAAGCAAAAGCCCCUCCACAAGCACGACAGAUGGGGGCUCUUAAAGUAUCCAUGUCGAGUCCUGGAUUUGUCUAUGAACCUUAUGCUCCUCGCAAACCAAUCCCAUUCUGGCAGAGAUGGUUCACAAGAAGUGGAUGGAGAAGAACAAAAGAGGAUAUAAUUUUAGAGCUCAAAAGUGCAUAUGCCAUUAAUAAGUUAAGAAAAUCUGGAUAUUCAAAGAGGCUGUUUUACAAUGAGGCUGUACAAUUAUACAAGGAGAUUAACACUCUUCUGGCCAAUGGAGACAAAAAUUCAUUAAGGAAGGCAGUGACAGAAAACAUGUACUCUGCACUAAAGAAUGAAAUCAAACAAAGAGAAUCUGUAUGGGAUAAGGUUUAUUGGGAAUUGAUUGAACCAGUUCUUAAAAUUCGAACUUUACGAGCUCGACUGAUUGGUGUGGAUAGAAAUGACACCAGUAAGGUCUUUGUACAGAUCACACUUGAAUUCCUUGCAAAGCAGAAGUUUGAAGCAUAUGAUUCAAAUGGAUCUGUCGUUGCUGGAGAUAAAUCUAAGGAGGUACUUGUCCGUGAUAUCUGGGUAUUUGAGAAGUCCCUCUUUCACCCCGGAUCCUACUGGCGUCUUUGUGGGCGGAUUUCACUCUAAGCUGUCUAUUUUUUGACCAAAGAUGUAUUAUGCUGAUGGAAAAUAAAUUGUAGAACCCAAUUUUGGUAAAAGGCAUAAAGAAUCCUGAAGCAACAUCUUCCUUACUCAUGAGUCCAGCCGAAAUGUUAACAUUUAUAUAUAGUUUGUCUUUAGAGGAUGAAUUCUCCUUUUUCAUGUUAUGAUAGAACCUAUUAACACUUGGCUCCAAUUUCACUACUGGAACUGAGGGAGGGACUAAACAAUAAAGAUUGAUGGUUAAUUUGGUGUUUGGCUUUUC